CCUGCGGGACCGGUCGACGGGGAAGGGGAGGGCGGGGGCGCUCAGCCAAACGACGACGACGACAGGGACCACCUAGUCUCCACUGUAAUCCAGCCCUCUGCGUCUGAUGGCGGCGAGGCCCCGUGCAGGCGACGGCUACCAUGGUAGUUCUUCAACCUCACGAUCGGGAUGGACCACCCCGAAGAGACGUUGGAGGAGGUCGCCGGCCUAGCACGAGAUGCCGGCCGAGCACGAACCGCCGGCUGGGAGAGCACAGCCGCACAGAAGGUCUUUGCAGCGGACGUCCCACCAGCACCAAAGGAGUCGCCGAUACGUGGCCUACAAGCCGGCGAGAGUGGGCCGGAGUCCGCCCAGCGUUGUGCCUUGGAGCGGCCGGCUGGGAGAGACGGCACAACAGCAGCGGACGACGAAGAAAUAGGAUCAGGCGCGCAGGGAGAAGAUGAGAAGGCCGCCGGGAAGGAAACAACGGCCGGGAAGGUGGUCGCCGAGCCCGGGGUGGGCGUCGACGAGAGGCUGUGGGGAGGGCAAGGGGCGGCGCC
rnacentral:misc_RNA from 1 species